rnacentral:rRNA from 1 species
UAUUGCACAAUGGGCGCAAGCCUGAUGCAGCCAUGCCGCGUGUGUGAAGAAGGCCUUCGGGUUGUAAAGCACUUUCAGUCAGGAGGAAAGGUUAGUAGUUAAUACCUGCUAGCUGUGACGUUACUGACAGAAGAAGCACCGGCUAACUCCGUGCCAGCAGCCGCGGUAAUACGGAGGGUGCGAGCGUUAAUCGGAAUUACUGGGCGUAAAGCGUACGCAGGCGGUUUGUUAAGCGAGAUGUGAAAGCCCCGGGCUCAACCUGGGAACCGCAUUUGGAACUGGCAAACUAGAGUGUGAUAGAGGGGGGUAGAAUUUCAGGUGUAGCGGUGAAAUGCGUAGAGAUCUGAAGGAACACCGAUGGCGAAGGCAGACUACCUGGGUCUAGCACUGACGCUCAUUACGAAA